GGGGGUGAUAGGUAUCGACUCUGAAUAUCAAGAUAGUGGAAGCGAGUCGUGGUCCCGGAGCCACGUUAAAGAGCCGGAAAAUAAAAUAAACGCCGAGCAACCGCUCGCACUUGCUGCUUAAAUAACCAGCAACGCCCAACCGUUCUCAGUCUUAUGGAACGAAUUUGGGUGUCAUAAAGUAGGACUUACGUUAUUUGCCCAUGUCGCAAGCAAAUAACGGACACUAAAGCGACUAAAAAGACACUAUGGCGUCAAAGGCAAGGUGUCUUUUGAAAUUAAACCUUUGACUGCACUCGGAGAAUAAUUAUCAAGAUGUCAGAGGACGCGGGUUCAAUUCCCGCCACCUCCACUA
rnacentral:tmRNA from 1 species